rnacentral:rRNA from 1 species
CCUACGGGAGGCUGCAGUGGGGAAUAUUGGGCAAUGGGCGCAAGCCUGACCCAGCAACGCCGCGUGAAGGAAGAAGGCCCUCGGGUUGUAAACUUCUUUUGUCAGGGACGAAACAAAUGACGGUACCUGACGAAUAAGCCACGGCUAACUACGUGCCAGCAGUCGCGGUAAUACGUAGGUGGCAAUCGUUAUCCGGAUUUACUGGGUGUAAAGGGCGUGUAGGCGGGAGAGCAAGUCAGAUGUGAAAUUCCAGGGCUCAACCCUGGAACUGCAGUUGAAACUGGUUGUCUUGAGUGGUGGAGAGGCAGGCGGAAUUCCGUGUGUAGCGGUGAAAUGCGUAGAUAUACGGAGGAACACCAGUGGCGAAGGCAGCCUGCUGGACAUUAACUGACGCUGAGGCGCGAAAGCGUGGGGAGCAAACAGGAUUAGAUACCCCUGUAGUC